UGGUAAAAUGGCCGAGGGUUAGGCGGUAGGUUGUAGCCCUAAUAACAAAGGUUAAAGUCCUUUUUUUACCAG
rnacentral:tRNA from 1 species